rnacentral:misc_RNA from 1 species
UCCCGGUUAACCCGGGCAGUCUCACUAGAGUCCCCGCCAUAACGCGCUGGCAACUAAUGAUAAGGGUUGCGCUCGUUGCGGGACUUAACCCAACACCUCACGGCACGAGCUGACGACAGCCAUGCAGCACCUGUGCAGCAGUCCCGAAGGAAGACGCCAUCUCUGGCGCUGUCUACUGCAUGUCAAGCCUGGGUAAGGUUCUUCGCGUUGCAUCGAAUUAAACCACAUGCUCCACUGCUUGUGCGGGUCCCCGUCAAUUCUUUUGAGUUUUACCCUUGCGGGCGUACUUCCCAGGCGGUAUACUUAUCGCGUUGGCUUCGGCACAGCCAGGGUUGAGUCCAGCUACACCAAGUAUACAUCGUUUACGGCAAGGACUAC